CCUAUCCUAUAUAACUGGGUUCUGCUCUAGGUGGCAACACAUAGGGCACAGUGGACAAAGGGACACACAAAUGCCAAGCUGUCCUGUCUCCUUCCAGUGUAGUCAAGGUUCUCCAGAGAAGAAAAACCCACAGGUGAGAGUUUCAAAGUCUACAGAACAAAAUCAGCUUUGUGCCACAGAAGAGGAAGCAACUAAUGACAAAAGAGGAGAGACUCUGAACCAGACCUUUAAGAGCACACACGUUGUUGGCAAAUUCUCGGGUUGUUGAAAGCACAAUUUAAUGGCACCUGUUAAGCUAAUCUCUAAAAAUAAUAACAAAAAAUUGUUUUUGCAAUCAAUUCUUAGAA
rnacentral:lncRNA from 1 species